AACCAUUCCAAUCUCAUGUGCUAGGCAUCUUAUUUUAACUGAGCAUUUUCACACAACAUUCUCAUUGCCACUCUCCCAAUCUCUAAAGCGAGGAAGAUGAAUACGCUCAAGGUUCUUUUGAGAUCCACCUCUCCUUAUGUCCACCCCUCCACGGUUCCCAUCACAUAGAACGUCAACUAACGGUUGUAACAUUUUCUCAACCAUCCGAUUGUAACAGCAUUCUCAUUGCCACUCUCCCAAUCUCUAAAGCAGACCCAAGUCAGGGCGUAAAGAGGAAAAAUGAUGAUUUUCUUGUCUACUUUUGGAUGGAGCAUGAUAAAGACAAGUUCAAUUUUCUUCUAUCAGUUGGUGAUCUCUCAUAUGAAUCAAUUGAGCAAAAUGUCAUAGAUGCGUGUGGUAUAGAGAGAGGAACAUUUACUCUUCAUUACAAGGAUAGGAAGGGGAAUGAGAUCAGGAUUUAAAACGAUCACAAUCUGAACACAUGAAUCAAGCUUUUGGGCUUCGAGGUUGAACAUCCGAUUAAGAAAAAAAUGAACACACAUGUUUGAUUGUGUAGUUUGAUGUUAUUUAGAGUUUUUGUUGCAUUUCUCAAGUCAGAAGUAUAUGCAGUUGAAUCACGAUGAUAACUCCUCGAUUAUGGUUUCAUUUUGGUUAAGAAAAUGCAAGAUACUUUGUUAUAUAUUAUUUGAAUUUCAUCCCUUGAAACGAUGAAUUUGAUUCUUGUAUUUUCAUGAGUACACAAAUGCUCAAGAGUUAUUUAUAGCUACUGAUAAUGGACAUGAGCUUAUGUAGAACAAAUGUAAUAAAUCAGGUUUGAGAAUCA